GGAAGAGGGGCUGAUGGGGGCCCACGGGAAAGGACAGUGGAAUUAUCUUAAGGCAGGACUUGCUUACCAGGCACACUUGGGUUUACCGAGAUCGAAAGUUUAUGGGAGUGGGUUAGAAGAGGAGCUGAUAAAAAUGAUGGCAGUGUUGGAAAUAGUGCUGCAGUGACCACUGGGGGUGCACGUGUCUUUUAGAAUUAUGGUUUUCUUAGGGUAUAACAUAGGGAGCUCAGCGUGGGGCUCUGUGAUGACCUAGAAGGUGGGGGGUGGGAAAGAGGUGAUAGAUGUACACAUAAGGCUGAUUCACUUUGUUGUGCAGCAGAAAAUAACACAAAAUUGUAAAGCAAUUUUAAAUGAUGGCAGUUAUUAACUUCCUUCCUCAACCAGCCACCUCCAUGAACUUCUACUGCCCUGGAUAAAAAAGCAUAGAUCAGGUCAUUUAAUCUAGUGAUCAUGGUAUCACUAACAAGGACAGCUUAGUUGAUAAUUGUAAUUAAUGUUAAAAUGGUCUUGAUUUUGGAAUUAUUUUACCUACAUAAUAAAGAAUAAAUCAGACAACUUACUAGACUAUUAAUCUGAGAUAGAAUAAAUAUCAGCUAAAAUUUACAUGUAAAGUUUAUUUUUAAAUCUUGUUUUACAAUAGUAUGUUUUAGACUUAAUCUUUUAUUAAUGAAUCAUUUAAAUAUUUAUAAGAUCUUAUUUAUUAUAAUACCUGAUGUGCACGCAUAGGAGAACUCACCUGUUCUAGCCUUCAGUGGCUGAAGAUGACUGAGAACUUGAGAGAUUCAAAACACUCAUAAAGGGGAAAAAUGUAACCAAGGUGGGAAACUAUUGAAGAGAGAUUAUAUCUCCUUGGGGGGAGGGGGGCCAAAGCUGGCGCAGCAACCAGGACUAGAGAGUUAUUCCGUUCCAGUGUGUGUAGCUCAUUAGCAUCCUUGACUCACCUGUUUUAUGAAUUUUUGUACAAGAAACAGUGCAGAGAUAUUCAGCCAGCUCUGGAGCUACUGGGUGAGCGACCAGCAAGGGGCCCUGACUUCACCGCUCUCCUCCCAGACAGGAAGCAGACAGUAUGAAGCAAAGAAGAAUGGCAGAAAGCGCCUUCCUUUGCAGCUGGAAAAGCACCACAGGAAGAAGGACUAACCGAGGCUGAGAUGGUUGGAGCAGAAAGAAUGAGGGACCAGCCUGAGUAAUCGGGCAGCACUCGGCAGUCCUCUCCUUCCAAACAAGGGUCCAUGUGACACCACCAUUUCUGAAUCACAAUGGAAGCUGGAAGACAAAGGCCAUGUAACAUUUGUGACGCCGUUUCUUCCCUCCAAAUACAGGCAACGUAAAGCUCAAUGCAGUUGGCUAACUGAUUAUGAUGUAGGAAGUAAGGUCUCAAACUGUGCAGCCUUCUUUAAUUUCUUCACCUGUACAAUGGGGAGAGAAAUAGAGCCUCCCCAAAGGAUGGCAAGAGGAUACAGCCGAUCUGUGUAGAAGUCCUGGCUGACUUGGCACCAGUUGACUGUGUUGUCAGGAAAUGUUAACUGUCAUUGUGUCAAGACUGGGAACAGACAAUAGUUUCAUCCCAGAAGGUGCUCAUCUCUCCAUGCCAUUCCAGCUAGUAACAGGUUGCUUUUUUAAAAAAUACCCCAAUGGAUUCUACCACUGCCUCAGAACUCUGAAAGUCAAGUUCAAGAAAAAGCAGGCAUUACACAAGCCUAGCUUGGAGGAACCUGGACCACCACCAUAAAGUAACAUACACUUAAGAAAUCUGAGGUCCAGUGGUGAGAAGCAACCUGCCCAAAGUCCCUGUUUUUGCAAGUAGCCAAACGGCAUUUCAGCAGAGGUGCCCGAGUGCUACGGAGUACAUACCUCCUCCCCAGCAGAGGUCUCUACUAGAGGCAGCAACAACGAACCUUCAGAACCAAGACGAGGAGGCAGAUGGUUCCAGAUAAAACACCAGAGCUUUCCACACCAUGAGUAGUAUCUGAAUCUAGACCCUGCCAUCCAUCAAUCUUUCUGCUUACACCAGAGUUUAAGGUCAUACUUGAGUAAGCGCUCCACAGAGUUGACCAUAUUCAUAGUGCUGACUAGUCAUUCCUUAUUUUCUGAAUGCCUUAGUCUGGUCCCAAGUAGGUAUAAAGAUCAGUAAGAAGGGGUUCCCAACCUUCAAUUUAAAAUACCAUCUUCAGGACAGAAAAGUUAUAGAAAUGUUGACAGACUUCAUUAUAUUUACACAGAGUUAACAUUGAACAUGAAAUACUGUUCAGAAAAAUCUUUCAAACUGUUCCACAGACAAACUUUCUUCCACUCAGCAGUGGAGACCUGUGUACUCCCGGCAGGUAUCAGAGCUCCAUGGAUGAUUCGAAAGAAGCUCUGACAGGUGGCUAGAGACCUAAGUGAAGAGUAUGAAGUGAGGCUGUGGAUGAAGAUACACACUCCUCCUCUGUGAUCUAAGAUGCAUCUAAAUGCCACCCCACACAGCAGAGACCCUGAAGGCCGGGCUUCUCGAGCUUGGCACUCCUGACAUUUGGAGCCAUCUAAUCCUUCACCUCAGGGGUACAGCCUAUGCAUGUGAAGAUAUUCAGCAGCACGACCCUGUCCCCCAGCAUAAAGACCAAAAGCAUCUCCAGACAUUGUCACAUGUUCCCAAGCUGGAGAAAACCACCUGUGGUUGAGCAACAAUGGUCUCCCGUCACCUACAGUUAUGAUCAGACGUCCUCAGCCCAGAAUGAGAGGCUUUGCUAGUUCAUCAAAGCUUUGCCGGGUGAAAACACAACUCACUCUAAACACACACAUCCUGGGUUCACCAUGACACCUAUGCUGACAAUCCAUCUGACCUGUCAAAUUCAGAAAGCACAUUUUUCCUUCUGAGAAAUCUCAGGGUAUUUGAUAUGAACUUCGCUCACAGCAUUUCCUACCUUUCUUAUUGGCAGAGCCUGCUUCACCCACUCUCCUUGAAUACAAAUUCCCAGACGGCAGGCAGGAAGUCCGAAAAUUUGAUUUGCUCUCAGACCUUUACUAUCACAGGCCCUGUGUACACCUUCAGCUUUGCCUUCUACCAUUUCUGAGCCAGACAAGCUGCUUCCACUUCCCAAGGUUGCCCCCGCUCAUCCUCGGCUGCCCUACACCCCUGCCCCUCCUCCUGCUGCAUAGCAAAGUCGGCCCCAGGGCUUCGCAUGGGUACCACCCCCACCCUUUCUCUACUUUCUCCAAGAGUCCUUCACUUACUAGACUUUAAUUAUCUCUCUUGCUUAUUAUUAGCAAACUCUGGGUUGAAAACAGGACCUCCAGCAUCUAGGACUUGCCAGGCACAAAAGAGCUGAAUUAAAACUAGAUAAAUGCACACACAUAUCCUCCCGACUUUCAAAGUGCUUUAGUAAAGGAUACUUCAUUGUCACUUAGCUGACCAACACCGAGAAAAACUCAGAAAAGUGCUUCAUCGUUCGGGUGGUAUGAUGAGAACACAGCUACUGACGAAACCGUGUGAACUCAAUCUUAAAGACAGACCCCACAUCACCACACAAUCCACAAAGCCACAAAAGAUGUCUUCAGGACACGCAGUAACUCUUAUCCUUAACUAAGCAAAGUCUGACAUCUCAGAAAAGGCAUUGGGACAUCACUGAAAGAAAGAAAGAAAAAAACGCCUUUGGAAAGUAACUGUCUUCUAGUCCUAGGCUUUUGUCUUAUUAAGCUUUUAUAAACCUGAUAUUUAGAGAGCAUUCAGUUUGACAAAAUAGGCUUCAUUGAACUACUCAUUUAUCUCAUUUUAUCAUAAAACAAUCCAGCAUUAUCUCUAUCGGGCUAUAUUUUGAUAAAUGUGUAGAAUACAGUUCCUACCACAAAACAACCUUGUCUAUGCCAGUAGAAGAUGCAAAAAGGAAGAAUGCUUAAGAGCUAAAUUGUUUGUUUCAGGAUCCAAGUAAUCAUAGCUUCAGUCAAAUAAUUCCUCAUCCCUUCUCCCAAAUCCCAAAUGAGUAUUACAGACACAUUUCAAUAAUUCAGGGGGAUUUUGUAAGUUAAUUAUAACAAAAAAAAGCUUGAUGGGAGGAAAAAAGAGCUAUUUUUAACUACUAAAAGGUGUGAUUUCCCAGAAAAGCAACAAAAAAACACUAGAUAAGUAUCUGUGAUAUGGAUUAACAAAAAUUCAUAAAGAUAGUCCAAUGUCUGUACCAAAAUUAAUGCCCCUCUUCUCGCCUUUAAUUUAAAUGUAAAUUCAAGUAAAUUUUAUAUUUUACAUCCUCUCUAUCCUUAUUGACAAAUAAGAUAAAAGGAAGGUAUCAGCAGACACUAGGUCUCCCCACAUGCCAGUUAGCAGCAUGAUAUUGCAUAAUUAUUAUGGGAUAAAGAUUAAGCAGGUAAAGCUAAAAAAGCCCGACUCAAAACAUAUUCAAAUAAGGAAAAGAAGAUCAGAGAACAUAUGAGACCACACACACAUCCUAACUAGUCUAAAGUACAACUUCCAACACCGCCUCCAUGACUUUGAGCCAGUGAACACUGACCGAACACCCACUAUUUGCCAGGCAGUGCAGGGGACACAGAUACGAAGACACACAAUCCUCUCUCUCGGGGUUUUGGGAUGCCCUGGCCUCCAAAUGUUACACUAAACUUACACAAUGGCAUAAAGCUUAUCCUGCACUUGCCCAACACAGACGCUUCAGGUCCCACGUUCCCACUUAAAUAUACACUCGCCGCCUCUGGAAUGCUCAGGAGGAGGUGCACGUGCUUAGCGGCUCCCGAUCACACUGGACACAUACAUGAUGCCACUCAGCAAUGGAGCUACUUGCAGCAUCACAGAAAGUUCUACUGCGCAGAUUCCGCGCGGAGACCAGACAAUUGGUCUCCCAUCACUCACUGAUCUCCCCACCAAGGCCCUCAUGUAGCCUGUGAGCAUGUUUUCUUUGCCACAGAUGGAACCAAAAUGCCUUUCAGUAGAAGAACAGCUAAAUAAAUGACAACCUGCCCAUAUGAAGGAAUGUUGGGGAGCAAUUAAAAAGAAAACAGGUCAUCAGGCCCUAGCACACAACCUAGUUCUAACAGGAAUCCUGCCUCCUGACUUACGAAUCACCACUGGGAUGUCCAUUUGUGUAAUACCCAUUCCUACCAAGAUCAACCACGUUUUCUACAGACCUGUUUUAAAUACACAAGUAUAUAUAUUGACCAAACAGAGAGAUGUAGUUACCCAGAGUAGAGGCCAAAAAGGAUUUUCCCACAUAGCAAAUGUAAAACAAGCUAGUUUAUGGUAAGGUAUUAGCAUUUCCUUUACUAAGAGACACAUGCUUCUCCGAACUACUACCUUUAUCUGUACUGUCCAGGCCCCAAUAAAAGUGCUUUCAGAAUUGUAACAUGAUUUAGACAUACAAGAUUUUUAUAUUCAAGUAUUCCAAACCAGACAGAGUAUGAACACAGUUUAUGUAAUCAUUCAUGACUUCCUGUAGAAGUGUGAAAUCUGCAGAGGUCAUGUUUGGUCUGGAGAAAAUGGCAGAGUAGGAAGAAACCGUCCUGUCCAAACAGGCAGGCCGGGCACAGGCGCGGGGCAGUCAGAACCCACAGCCCUGGUGCGGGACCCAGGGCGGGAGAGACGGCACGACCGGGAAGCCCGCAGCCCGGGAGCGGGGGGCCCGGCCCAGGGGCCCCGCACCAGGAAGGUGAGUCCUUAGAACGGCCUUGAAAACCAGCGGGACUCACGGCGAGGAGAGCUGGGGGAGCGCAGACAACGGACACUCCGCUCUUGAAGGAUUCACACACACAUACACUCAUUCAAGUCCCAGGACAGAGGCAGCAGCUUGGAAAGUGCUCCUGUUACACGGGAAGGAAAUUCCUUCCUACGUUUAGGACCAGAGAGGCGAGCCUCUGGUAUACCUCCAGGGACAGAGGUGCUGACAGGGACUGUUUUCUUGCACCUUCUUCUCCCCUCGCUGGCCCAGCGCUGCUGUGGGGCAUUUCUGCAGCUCCGUCUCCCGCGCGAGCACCGUGCCCUGCGCCGCCGCGGGUCCCUCCCGAGGAGAUCCACCCCUACCCGGUGGGCACCUCAGCUCCCCGGCGCCCCUGCAAGCCAGCUCCCACUCGGGGAACUCCGCACAACCGCCCUCUCACAAAGUCGUGAUCAAGCCUCACAGCCAGUGGGCCCAGAGACGGGUUCUAUCCAUCAGGACGAGCCAUAAACAGUCCUGGCCAACCCACGCAACCAGCCAGCCGGGGCGUCAGCCCUGCCCACCAGGGUGUCUGCAGCAGCAGAGACUCAGCCCUAAAAGGACGGUGCACGCGGCCCACGCCGGUGAUUGCGGUGUCUGGGAGUGCAGGUAAGGGGGAAGACAUAAUGGGACCUGCGCCCUGGCACAGUCCUCUCAUCUACAAGCCUGGAGCACUUUUCUCCAGGGCUCUGGUCACCGGAAGAACCGGGGUGGGGCAUGGAGAAGUGCUGCCGCCUUGUGGACAUUUGCUGUACUAGCAACUUUAAACCCAGUGUUUCCGGCACUCCGUAUUUACAAGGUUUGUGGGGCUGGAAAGCACAUCUGCUCUCAAGAAGUGUCCUGGGGUAGGUAAUCGAAAAAGAAUUCAAAACAUGGGGGACUUUCA